rnacentral:rRNA from 11 species
CAGUGAGGGCCUAAUAGAGUCAAGGCACUAGGUCCCAUCUGAUCUUGAAAGUUAGGCAGGGUCAGCCUUGUAUAGUUCUUUGAUGGGAUACCAACAAUGAAUACUAGGUUCUGCAGGUU